AGGACUAACGCUGGCGGCGUGCUUAACACAUGCAAGUCGAGCGGAAAGGCCCUUCGGGGUACUCGAGCGGCGAACGGGUGAGUAACACGUGAGCAACCUGCCCUUAGCUUCGGGAUAGCUCCGGGAAACCGGAAUUAAAUACCGAAUAUGAAUGCGGCUGACAUCAGCCACAUUGGAAAGUUUUUCGGCUAGGGAUGGACUCGCGGCCUAUCAGCUAGUUGGUGAGGUAACGGCCCACCAAGGCGACGACGGGUA
rnacentral:rRNA from 1 species